rnacentral:tRNA from 1 species
GUUGGUAGAGCAAAGGACUGAAAAUCCUUGUGUCGGCGGUUCGAUUCCGUCCCGAGCCACCA